rnacentral:lncRNA from 1 species
UUUUAGUGCGUCCGAUUUAAUUUUUCGAGCAUAUUUUCGCCCGACUUUUAUGCAUAUUUAAUCGUUUUAAUCUUAUUCUUUUGCCAAAAUAUUCAGAAAACUUAAAUAGGAAUAUCUAUGUCUCCCUUUUAUUUUUAUCAUAUUCAUUUUAGAAAUUGUGAAUUUUAUUUGAUUUAAUUAAUUUAAUUUGUUUUAAAUUGAUUAAAUCAUCUAAAAGGGGUAUUUUAGACAUUUUUAAAUUAGCUAACAAUUUGUGCUUCUUUGUGUGUUUCCUUGGAUUAAUCGUGAUCGUUAGAUUAUGAUUAAUCAAGGGUCAAUGUUAGUAACUCGUGUGCAUUUCUAUUCACCAAAAAAAAUCAAUCAAUUAAUAAUAAUAUGAAAAAGAAUAAAUAAAAAAAUCUGACUUCCCCAUUAACCCCAUGUGCCAACGGAUCUCUUAAGGAAAAAGACAAAAAGAAUAAAAAAUCUCCUUUUCCUCACAUGACCCUUCAUGUGGCUACCUGACACCACUCAUUACUUCCCCUCCCCACAGUACACGCGUUUCUCUCCCUCUGGACUGAUUCUCAUCAACCACCCAC